UACGGUUAUCUUGGCAUUGGUUAAGUUAAAUGGAUGAACUAGACAUGAACUAUUGAAUAAAGUUGCUAAUUAAGAAUAAUUGGAGUUGUGGAUCAUUUUCUUUGUUAUGGAUAUAUGGUAUAAGGCUGGAAUUAUUGAUGAAUGACUUCAUUAUCAUGUUAAUGAUACUAUUAAGUUAAAGUAAAAAGUCUAUAAGGGAUGAUAUGGGGUAUACGAAUUUCAAUUGGAGCUUGUCGCUCGUCGUAAAAUAGUUAUGACUUGUUGUUGUUUUAUGGUGUUUUGUUAUUGAUAAUUAUGUAUUGAUGGAUUUCUCUGGUAAUUGUUGUUGGUAUAUAUGGAGGAGGCUCUUGUUAUAGGGGAGAUGAUGCCCGGAUUUAUAUAAACGAGCUACAAGUUUAAGUUGCAGACUUAGCCUUUAUUCAACACUGAUUUUGAAUCUCCUUAUGCAAAGGUAGAUUGAGUUGAGUUGUUUGAAGAGUAGCUUGGGAGGUAUUAAGGACUCACCAUGGUUAAGGUAUGUUAAGGCACUUCCUUAUUUCUUUUGGCAUAAUCUAAAGUGAAAUGAAUACGCUAUUUCAUAACGGAUCUACUCUUAGAAACUAAGGUUGCUCAUGUUGUUAUUUCCUUAUAAAGUUAUUUUAAGCAAUUAUGUAUGAUCCUUGAAUCCUAUAGAAGCUCAUAUUGAUGGUAUGAUGUCCAUAAUAUUAAUCGAAGGUGCAACCACCUUAAGUCACUCCAAAAGGUUUAGAACAUGAUUCCAUGAGUCUAGCAUGCAUUAUAUAUGACAUCUAUUUUACUCUACUGAGCCGCGCUAUAGUAGGCCGGGUAUGACACCUAUUGUGCAACCACUGAUCAGUUGGAUUUACCGAGCUCCACGUAGCCGGGUACGAUUUUACCGAGCCUUAUGAUGGCCGGGUACGCUUUUACCGAGUCCUCUUUGAGGCCGGGUACGAUAUGAUGAUGAUGAUGCCCACAGAGGCUUAUGUUUUUAAAGUUUAUGUAUAUAUAUGCAUUAUGCAUUUCAUGUCAGUAGCCCCUAGAGGCACUCAUAUAUUACAGGUUGUAUCUCCUCUAUCCCUCUUUACAUUAAUGUUCUUGUUUAUGCUUUCCUGCCUUACAUACUCAGUACUUUAUUUGUAUUGACGUCCCUUUUGCCUGGGGACGCUGUGUUUCAUGCUCGCAGGUCCCGAUUGAUAGGUUGAAAGUCUUCCUAGUAGGCUAUCAGCUCAGCGGAUGUGUUGGUGCACUCCACUUGCUCCGGAGUUGCCUAUUUGGUCAGUAUACUUUGGAUAUGUAUUGACUGGUAUGGCGGUCUCUGUCCUGACCUUUAUGAUUUUAUGUACUCUUAGAGGCUUGUAGACAGAUGUUAGGUUUAUGGAUACUUGUAUG
rnacentral:lncRNA from 1 species